rnacentral:rRNA from 1 species
UACGAAGGGGGCUAGCGUUGUUCGGAAUUACUGGGCGUAAAACGCGCGCAGGCGGUUUUUCAAGUCAGUGGUGAAAGCCCGGAGCUCAACUCCGGAAAUGCCAUUGAAACUGUAAAACUUGAGGACGAGAGAGGUGAGUGGAAUUCCCAGUGUAGAGGUGAAAUUCGUAGAUAUUGGGAAGAACACCGGUGGCGAAGGCGGCUCACUGGCUCGUUUCUGACGCUCAGGCGCGAUAGCGUGGGGAUCAAACAGG